UGGGGAAUCUUGCACAAUGGGCGAAAGCCUGAUGCAGCAACGCCGCGUGCGGGAAGACAGCCCUAGGGUUGUAAACCGCUUUCAGCAGGGAAGAAACUGACGGUACCUGCAGAAGAAGAUGCGGCCAACUACGUGCCAGCAGCCGCGGUGACACGUAGGCAUCAAGCGUUAUCCGGAUUUAUUGGGCGUAAAGAGCUCGUAGGCGGUUCGGUAAGUCGGGUGUGAAAACUCUGGGCUCAACCCAGAGAGGCCACUCGAUACUGCUGUGACUAGAGUGCGGUAGGGGAGCGGGGAAUUCCUGGUGUAGCGGUGAAAUGCGCAGAUAUCAGGAGGAACACCAGUGGCGAAGGCGCCGCUCUGGGCCGUAACUGACGCUGAGGAGCGAAAGCAUGGGUAGCAAACAGGAUUAGAUACCCUGGUAGUCCAUGCCGUAAACGUUGGGCACUAGGUGUGGGUCUCAACCAACGAGAUCCGCGCCGUCGCUAACGCAUUAAGUGCCCGCCUGGGAGUACGGUCGCAAGAC
rnacentral:rRNA from 1 species